rnacentral:ncRNA from 8 species
AACAGCUUGACGGGGUGCCGGUGAAAUCCGGCUGAGAUGGCGCAGGGCGUAGCAAUUAAUGCUGCCGAGCGCUGAUCCCGCAGAACCUGAUCCGGCUAAUGCGCUGCUACUUACACAAGUUCGCAGCGAGGGUACCGGCGUAGGGAUCAAGCGAUGGCCACGG